AAGUCGUAACAAGGUUUCCGUAGGUGAACCUGCGGAAGGAUCAUUACCGAAUGACGUGCGUCCUGGUUGUGGUAGACCAUUUCCUCCGAUCAGAUUUGGUCAGAUGUCGGACCAGCCAGGAUUUGGUCUACCAUGCCUUUCAUUCACCAAACAAACCUGUCGUUGCAUGUGUGGCAUUAAAGUAUAUAUAAAUAUAACUUUCAACAACGGAUCUCUUGGCUCUC
rnacentral:misc_RNA from 1 species